UUAUGGCCACAUCAGGUUGGAAUACCAGUUCCUGUACAAUCACCAAAGUUAAGCAACAUUGAGCCUGGGUAGUAUCUAGUUGGGUGACCACUUGGGU